rnacentral:rRNA from 1 species
AACGAACGCUGGCGGCAGGCUUAACACAUGCAAGUCGAGCGCCCCGCAAGGGGAGCGGCAGACGGGUGAGUAACGCGUGGGAAUCUACCUUUUGCUACGGAAUAGCUCCGGGAAACUGGAAUUAAUACCGUAUGUGCCCCCCAUUUUAGUCGAUGGGGCGGGAAAGAUUUAUCGGCAAGAGAUGAGCCCGCGUUGGAUUAGCUAGUUGGUGGGGUAAAGGCCUACCAAGGCGACGAUCCAUAGCUGGUCUGAGAGGAUGAUCAGCCACAUUGGGACUGAGACACGGCCCAAACUCCUACGGGAGGCAGCAGUGGGGAAUAUUGGACAAUGGGCGCAAGCCUGAUCCAGCCAUGCCGCGUGAGUGAUGAAGGCCUUAGGGUUGUAAAGCUCUUUCACCGGAGAAGAUAAUGACGGUAUCCGGAGAAGAAGCCCCGGCUAACUUCGUGCCAGCCGCCGCCGUAAAAC